rnacentral:rRNA from 1 species
GAAACAUCUUAGUACCCGGAGGAAGAGAAAGAAAAUUCGAUUCCCUUAGUAGCGGCGAGCGAAACGGGAAGAGCCCAAACCAACAAGCUUGCUUGUUGGGGUUGUAGGACACUCUAUACGGAGUUACAAAGGACGACAUUAGACGAAUCAUCUGGAAAGAUGAAUCAAAGAAGGUAAUAAUCCUGUAGUCGAAAAUGUUGUCUCUCUUGAGUGGAUCCUGAGUACGACGGAGCACGUGAAAUUCCGUCGGAAUCUGGGAGGACCAUCUCCUAAGGCUAAAUACUCUCUAGUGACCGAUAGUGAACCAGUACCGUGAGGGAAAGGUGAAAAGCACCCCGGAAGGGGAGUGAAAUAGAACCUGAAACCGUGUGCUUACAAGUAGUCAGAGCCCGUUAAUGGGUGAUGGCGUGCCUUUUGUAGAAUGAACCGGCGAGUUACGAUUUGAUGCAAGGUUAAGCAGUAAAUGUGGAGCCGUAGCGAAAGCGAGUCUGAAUAGGGCGUUUAGUAUUUGGUCGUAGACCCGAAACCAGGUGAUCUACCCUUGGUCAGGUUGAAGUUCAGGUAACACUGAAUGGAGGACCGAACCGACUUACGUUGAAAAGUGAGCGGAUGAACUGAGGGUAGCGGAGAAAUUCCAAUCGAACCUGGAGAUAGCUGGUUCUCUCCGAAAUAGCUUUAGGGCUAGCCUCAAGUGAUGAUUAUUGGAGGUAGAGCACUGUUUGGACGAGGGGCCCCUCUCGGGUUACCGAAUUCAGACAAACUCCGAAUGCCAAUUAAUUUAACUUGGGAGUCAGAACAUGGGUGAUAAGGUCCGUGUUCGAAAGGGAAACAGCCCAGACCACCAGCUAAGGU